rnacentral:rRNA from 1 species
CAGCAGCCACGGGAAUACGAAGGGUGCAAGCGUUACUCGGAAUUACUGGGCGUAAAGCGUGCGUAGGUGGUGGUUUAAGUCCGUUGUGAAAGCCCUGGGCUCAACCUGGGAAUUGCAGUGGAUACUGGGUCACUAGAGUGUGGUAGAGGAUAGUGGAAUUUCCGGUGUAGCAGUGAAAUGCGUAGAGAUCGGAAUGAACAUCUGUGGCGAAGGCGACUAUCUGGGCCAACACUGACACUGAGGCACGAAAGCGUGGGGAGCAAACAGGAUUAGAUACCCCGGUAGUCCCUGUCUCUUAUAC